CCUACGGGCGACAGCAGUGAGGAAUAUUGGUCAAUGGGCGAGAGCCUGAACCAGCCAAGUCGCGUGAAGGAUGACGGCCCUACGGGUUGUAAACUUCUUUUGCCAGGGAGCAAUUUGGUCCACGCGUGGGCUUAACGAGAGUACCUGAAGAAAAAGCAACGGCUAACUCCGUGCCAGCAGCCGCGGUAAUUCGGAGGUUGCGAGCGUUAUUCGGAUUUAUUGGGGUUAAAGGGUGCGUAGGCGGAAUAUCAAGUCAGCGGUAAAAAUUCGGGGCACAACCCCGUCGUGCCGUUGAAACUGAUGAUGUUGAGUGGGCGAGAGGUAUGCGGAAUGCGUGGUGUAGCGGUGAAAUGCAUAGAUAUCAGGCAGAACA
rnacentral:rRNA from 1 species